rnacentral:rRNA from 1 species
GGAGUCUGGUCCGUGUCUCAGUACCAGUGUGGGGGAUAAGCCUCUCAGCUCCCCUAGACAUCGUCGGCUUGGUGGGCCGUUGCCCCGCCAACUACCUAAUGUCACGCAUGCCCAUCCACUACCACCGUAGCUUUAGUUGUCUCUCCAUGCGAAAAACAACUCCAUGGGAUAUUAGUGGAAGUUUCCCUCCGUUAUCCCCCUGUAGUGGGUAGGUUGCAUACGCGUUACGCACCCGUGCGCCGGUCGCCAUCAAGAUCAGCAAGCUGAUCUCAUGCUGCCCCUCGACUUGCAUGUGUUAAGCCUGCAGCUAGCGUUCACUCCUGACGCCAGGAUACAAACUCU